rnacentral:lncRNA from 1 species
UGUUGAAAUUUGGAGGUGGGCCUUAGGCCCACUAGAGAAUUUCAGAAAAAUCUAAAGGGCCCAUGUAGGUGGUGGCAUGGCAAGGUGGUGGGAGUUUAGUCCCACCCCGCUAGUGGAGGAGAGUUUGGACCCCUUUAUAAGGGUCUCUCUUCCACAUGCUACUGGAGAGUGAGAAGAGAAGGUGCCCUCGCGCACUCCUCCUCCGCCGCCCGCCUCGCCACGCCACGCCUCGUCACGACGCGCCGCGGGUUGCGGGAAUGAGCCGAGCCGAGCUCAUACCUACGCGCUUAUUUUUGCCGGUCAGGAACGGAGAAUACGUAACGG